UGGGGAAUUUUGGACAAUGGGCGCAAGCCUGAUCCAGCCAUGCCGCGUGCAGGAUGAAGGCCUUCGGGUUGUAAACUGCUUUUGUACGGAACGAAAAGACUCCUUCUAAUAAAGGGGGUCCAUGACGGUACCGUAAGAAUAAGCACCGGCUAACUACGUGCCAGCAGCCGCGGUAAUACGUAGGGUGCAAGCGUUAAUCGGAAUUACUGGGCGUAAAGCGUGCGCAGGCGGUUAUGCAAGACAGAGGUGAAAUCCCCGGGCUCAACCUGGGACCUGCAUUUGUGACUGUAUAGCUAGAGUACGGUAGAGGGGGAUGGAAUUCCGCGUGUAGCAGUGAAAUGCGUAGAUAUGAGGAGGAACACCGAUGGCGAAGGCAAUCCCCUGGGCCUGUACUGACGCUCAUGCACGAAAGCGUGGGGAGCAAACA
rnacentral:rRNA from 1 species